UGUUAAAUUCCCAUAAAGAAAUUCUACUAAGGGCAGCAACAUGGCUUCAUUACAAAGCUAAUGAUGUAGCCAUUGGCCUUUUCACAUAGGAAUGAAGAAUUCUCGGACAUUAUCCUCCUCAACUACAGCAUGUAUACAUUGCCUUUGUGAAUAAUCAAUUUUGUCAUCACCUGAAAUUGAGACCUCCACUGAAACCUUGACAAACAGCUACUCUCUCUCUCUGAUGGAAUGCUAAGGAAAAAAGGAGUGUGAAGAAAAAGAGGAUUGUGGAGUCGACAAUCUCAUUACCUGAAUUAUAAUUGGGUCUUCUCCAAGCAUUUGCUGGAAAACUAUGAAAUGCCAGAAUUGGUGGUUACUCUAGAAAGAGAGAGAACUAAGCAUGGCUCCUAAGCUCCAGAGCUUGAAUCAUAACAGGAGAGCAAACUAGGAAGUAAGCAAUGUGGUGCAGAGAGAUGGGUGUUGAUAUGAUUUGGCUAAGUAGAUUUAAGUUAAAAAAAAAAAAUAAAAAGUAAAUAUUUUGAU